AUUAAGGUGGCAGAGCCAGGCCAUGCAACAGGCUUAAAACCUCAGAACAGGUGUUCAAAUCACCUCCUUAAUA
rnacentral:tRNA from 1 species